UCGUUUGGGCAAGCUUCAUUUUGAGAAACGUUAAUUUCAGCGACAUUUUCAUAUAGUAAAUAUUAUGAAAUAAAUUACGUCAUUAUUAAACGUCAUUCUUCAUCACCCACCAAACUGGUGUUCAAAAUCAAAUGGGAGAAGUCUCGAAGCUGCAACUUGAGGCUCUUAUCAGAUUUUGGCUCAACUCCGUAAGCUUAUGUGGAGGGAUGAAUUUACAAAACAUAUUGAGUGGGAUGGCAUUCAAACACUUCGAUCGAUGGGUCCCCUAGGAGUAGGAUCUUUAAAAAAGGAUGUGCAUUCUCCGAUCAUUUUCGUUGUCCAAUGUUAUGACAGAAAAAGGCUUCACUGGAGUCGGGACGGGUCUUUUUGGGACUCUUUCAUCAGUCUGCUAGCUUCAUUGAAUGCAGAAAUAUUCCUCAUUCUUAAAGGAAGAAAUAAACUAUAGAUAGUCUUGA
rnacentral:lncRNA from 1 species